UGAGGAAUAUUGGGCAAUGCCCGAAAGGGUGACCCAGCAACGCCGCGUGGAGGAUGAAGGUCGUAAGAUUGUAAACUCCUGUUAGAGGGGAAGAAUAACUAAGUUUGGAGCUUAGUAUGACUGUACCCUCAGAGAAAGCCCCGGCUAACUACGUGCCAGCAGCCGCGGUAAUACGUAGGGGGCAAGCGUUGUCCGGAUUUACUGGGUGUAAAGGGCGCGCAGGCGGAAUGGAAAGUCAGUGGUGAAAUCCUACAGCUUAACUGUAGAACUGCCUUUGNUACUUUCAUUCUUGAGUUCGGGAGAGAGAGACGGAAUUCCAGGUGUAGUGGUGAAAUACGUAGAUAUCUGGAAGAACACCAGUUGCGAAGGCGGUCUCUUGGUCCGAUACUGACGCUGAGGCGCGAAAGCGUGGGGAGCAAACA
rnacentral:rRNA from 1 species